UUGAGAUGUUGGGGAAGGAGUGUUUGGAGGUGACGGAAUGUAGGGAGGUUGGGAAAUGGGAGAAGGAGUGGUGGAUGGUGGUGUGGAAAUGUAAGAAGGUGGCUGGGAUAUUGGGGAAGGAGUGGUGGAUGGUGGUGUGGAAAUGUAAGGUGGCUGGGAUAUUGGGGAAGGAGUGGUGUUUGGAGGUGAUGGGAUGUAAGGAGGCUGAGAUAUUGGGGAAGGAGUGUUUGGAGGUGAUGGGGUGUAAGGAGGCUGGGAAGUAGGAGAAGGAGUAUUGGGUUGUGGAGGCACAUAAGGUGACUGAGAAAAGGGUGAUGGGGUUAUUGGAACAAAGGGUGGUUGAUGAUGAGGGGAAGGGGUGUUUGGAGGUAGAGGAGCAUGGGGUGGAUGGUUAUUAGGGGAAGGAGCAUAAGUGGGAGAAGGUGUGUUGGGAGGUAUGGGAGCAUAGGGUGGUUGAGCUUUGGGAGGAAAGGGAAGAUUAGUAGGAGGUGAAGGUGCUUCUGGAGGAGUAUAAACAG
rnacentral:lncRNA from 1 species